GAUGAACGCUGGCGGCGUGCCUAAUACAUGCAAGUCGAACGAAACUUCUUUAUCACCGAGUGCUUGCACUCACCGAUAAAGAGUUGAGUGGCGAACGGGUGAGUAACACGUGGGCAACCUACCCAAAAGAGGGGGAGAACACUUGGAAACAGGUGCUAAUACCGCAUAACCAUAGUUACCGCAUGGUAACUAUGUAAAAGGUGGCUAUACUACCGCAUUUGGAUGGGCGCGCGGCGCAUUAGCUAGUUGGUAGGGUAAAGGCUUACCAAGGCAAUGAUGCGUAGCCGAAUUGAGAGGUUGAUCGGCCACAUUGGGACUGAGACACGGCCCAAACUCCUACGGGAGGCAGCAGUAGGGAAUCUUCCACAAUGGGCGAAAGCAUGAUGGAGCAACGCCGCGUGGGUGAAGAAGGUCUUCGGAUCGUAAAACCCUGUUGUUAGAGAAGAAAGUGCGUGAGAGUAACUGUUCACGUUUCGACGGUAUCUAACCAGAAAGCCACGGCUAACUACGUG
rnacentral:rRNA from 1 species